AAAUGAAAUGGUUUAUACCACAGUGAUAAGGACUGCAUAAAAGCCAGUCAGUGGGGGAUGAGGACAGCUGCUGCCACAGCACAAGCCAUGCCACGAGCUUCGGACACUUUGGAGAUUGGCAUCCUGCACUUACACAGUGGCUACAACAGAGGAUAAAUUGGGAAGGUGGGCUUACAGGGCAAUAAAGACAUAGCUGAACUGGACUACCCUGAAGGCAUCCCUAUUUCCUCUGUGAAGUGCUGUUACAUCUGCACAGCAGGGUGCCCAGACCCCACCAAAGCGUGGUAGCUGAGGUCUGCGUGGAUGCUGCGUGGAUGAAGAUGAAACCAGCAGGGGGGAUCUGGAACAAGACAUCUUUCAGCCUCAGCUCACCCAACAGCACUGAAGACUGAAAUGAAGAAGUUGGUGGAUUCCAGAGUGAAGCAAGAAGAAGGCCGGGAUGCAACAUGAGCAGACGGUCCAACCCAGAAAAGUGCUAACUUUACAGAAUGGGGGACUCCGCGCAUCAGUGGCAGUCUGCGGGCAGUCAGCGUUGGACCCAAGGUUUCGUGUUUAUAGAACGAAGAAGGACAUCUUGUAAAGGCGCCUUUUCAUGUGCGGAGAGACCAUAAAAAUAACAAGACCCCAGAAUGUUAAAGAGAAUCACGAAUGCACAUGGAAAAUGCUACGCUAAUCACUGAAUUUCUGCUCCCAAAUACCUCUGUUUACUGAGUUGCAGCCAGCCCCGAUGAGCUUGGAGUAUGCCAGCAAAAGUGUGCAUAUCAGAAAGCUGCUGUGGAGUACAUGUUGUGAAUUGUAUGGGAACUGUUGAAUCACGGCCUGAACCUCUAAUUGACCACCUGAGGACAAACCUAGAGGUUUCAUCCCAAAAGAACAAACUUCUAGCAAAAGGCAUGGAUUAAGGAAAAAAGCUCAGGUUGGCCAGAAAUGGUGGAAGAAAGUCAAGAACAUUAAGAUAAAACAUAAGGCAAAGAAGAGAGUGAAUCUGCCUUCUGUAGCCCUGUACUCCCACUCCAGUCAGUUUCUACAUCAACUGAUAGGUGGGGAAGAGGACAUAACAGAACGAAAGCCAAGAAGAAAAUUGCAGCAAAGGGAUGGAGGAGUGCUGCUUAACCGUCUGUCUCCUGAAGUCUUCAGAUGGUGACUAGAUGCCUACAGAUAAGACAUUUUUUUAAUCAAGAAGUUAGAGAACUCCCUAGCAGAAAUGACAUGGAGUGAGUCAUAUGGUAGAUCAGACCAGAUCAUCUAAGAAAAUAUUCAGUCUUUCAAAUAUGCAUCCCUUUGAAUUCAGGUAAUAUUUUUUCCCCCAAGACAAGAGUCAAAGACCAGAUCUUCCUUAAUCAGAUGUUUCAGUGGGAAGAGAAGCUUUAGGGGACCUACAUGACAUUUUAAAGAGACCUAAAUAUUAGAGUAGGGGUAGGACAACUUGGCAGGAGAUGCUGAUUGAAAUUAUGGCUUCAUUGAGCCCAAGUGGGAAUUUGAAUUCAGGGGCCUAAGUUACCACCCAGUGUGUCAAUGGGAAAACUGCCAGUGUAAAACUGAGGGGGGAAAAAAAAAAAAAUGGUAUGAGAUGUUUGGCCUCAGGAAACAAAAUAGAAAUAAUGAGAGUCCCUGUUUCCCACCUCCCCUCAAAAAAAAAAAAAAAAAGAGAUGAGCAAAAUGGAGAAUGACACCAGAUUCAAUGAUCUGUCUCAGCACAAGCUAUGUGUAAGGCAAGAAGCUCUUCUUUUCUUCUAAUACAUAAGAUCAAUAAUGGAGGGUCUGAGAAAUCGCACAGAUUGAACACAACAAGGUCAGGUAUUGAGUUCACAGAGCCAUGGAAUAGUUGAGGUUGGAAGGGACUGCUGGAGAACUCUUACUCAAGCUGGGUCACCUUGCACAGCUUCCCACCACUCUGUCCAGGUGGUUCCAUCCCACAGAAGCAUCCAAGGACAUAUUCUGCUCUUCAGUAAAAGCGUGAAAGAUCAUUGCUCCUCAUCAAAUCCCAGUAGUGAUGCUAUGAGAUCUUUCUUUUAGGUGUAAACUCUCCUCCAGCUCUCUCAGUGCUGCUCUUUCUCACAUAGCCAUGGUUCUUCCAUGGCAAGAUCGGUUUGACUUGUGGAAAAAUAAUAAGCCCACAGUUGUUAUGAGAGUCAGGGCAGAGCAUAAUUCUAAUUACAGGAAGCAGAAGCAAGAGGGGGGAACUUUUGGAGUGUUUUAUUGUAAUUUAAGUAGGUUUCUAAGAUGUGAGAAGCCAGCAAUGUUGUCAGAGGUUACAAGGAGUUUUCAUGCAAUCACAAAUUCAUAUUUCUCUGUCCUAACACACAAUCUGGGAGAAGGGCAGCCAGAGGUAAGUGACAGAACCAGGAGGAGGAAGCGAGCUGUUAGCCGGCUCUGGUUUGUCUCUCCUUCUUAUCAGAUCAUAACUUCACAGUAGCACUUCCACUGCAAACUCCUUGUAGCCCUUCCAGAUUAACUUUCAAGCCUGCCUCCCUAACCUUGGGAAAUUUUAGACAUGCAAGAUCAGCUAACAAGGCAGGGGGAAGUUCUUUUGUCUGCAGUGGGAUCUUUCCAUGCUGCAGCUCGGCUUCCUUUACAUACAGGCCCUACUGAUUCCCCAGAGAGAUGGAGUAAACUAAUUGCUCAUCUGCUAUUAGGAUCAUCCCAAAAAAGAUUAAGACUGUGAAUGUUUGAUGGGCACAUCUCUGUCUUUUCUAGUUGGCUAAGAUUUCCUCUGCUGGAUGUGUAUGUCAGACUUCUACAAAAUCAACCCCCGCUCAACUACUCUGAGCUGGUAGGCAUCCUAAGUAAUGCUGUUGAAUAAACUGAAGUAAUUUGGGAUACAAUUUGGCAUAAGAGAUCACAAUUACUCUGCUGAGAUUAUUCCAGCAUUACAUCCACUUAUGAAACUACAAAAGAAAUCUGUCCACUGAAAUUCAUCUUCUAUGAAAGCUGCAGGAAGUGCUGACUGUCUACUUCCAGUGUGCCUGCCCAAAGGGAGACCUCUCUGCUGGAUCCCAACAAGAGGAGAUGACAAACAAGACAAGCGCAUUUCGUAGCACCCAUGACUCAGAUGGAGCAGAUCAGCUCUUCAGCUAUUGCUUCAUUAACCAAGGCUUGUUUGCUACAGACAUCACCAUCAAGAGUUUCCAGAGAUGCCACUGAAAGGUGUCCAUAUGUGUGCGGUGGGGAACCUGGCCAGCUCGCAGAGCCGCCUCUCCUCCAAGAACUGCAUACUGAGGCUUCUCAGUGUUGCAGAAAAAGCCACUGUUGCUUCCAAACUGCUAUAGGAACUGACAGGAGCGCUCCAUAUCCAGGUGCUGACUGACCACUGAAGAGCAGUUUGUAUGAAGAGCCUCAAAGGAGCUUCCAAAAGAAACUCAAAAACCUUGAGCUUACAACCUGGAGGAUGUUUGUCUACAUUUGCGAGGUAAAAUGGAGUUAUGCUUCAAAAUAAAGGAAAAUGCUGUGGUCUGUGGGUUAGUUCAUGAAGACCUCGAGUUUACUAUGGUAACUCCUUUUACAUUUUUAAUUAUAUCGCACCCUUAAUAUUUUGAAGAAAAGGAUUAGCAUACAGAGAGCGGAAAACUUUAUGCACUUUCUUCUUUGAAUGCUAAAAACUCUAGAAUUCAUUUCUGUUUCCUGAUAUGCACUUGAGAAAAAAUUGAGAUGACAGCAUGAUGUUUGAUCAUGACUCAUUAAAAUGGUGCCCAGGCUUCCUGCUCCGACACAACAGACAGUUGCGUAGCUGUUUGCAACUUUGACUUAAUAGGAUUUUGCAAUGCAGUUUCACAAUGCCACUUUCUCCCACUUUGCAUUUAAGAAUCCAGUCACUUACUGUUUAAAUAUCCCAAUAAGCUUCUGAGAGGAGACUUUCAGCUCUCCCCGCUUGUAGCUUUUCCUAAUCUUUCACCAUCCGACAUGUCCCCUGUGCCUCGGGCCAAGCGCUCUGAGCAGUACAUCCAUGGACGUUGUUUGAGUUUACGGGAGUUGCACCUCCCAGUAACACAUUCUUAUCCCUUUACAUCACAAAGUGAACCGCCAGCCCCAUUCAAUCAUUGAUAGUCUUUGGUGUCUCUUCAUUGCGCAGUGGUUAUUGCUAUAAACAGUCUUCACCAAAGUUCCCGUGUUUUUCCUGCUCUGCCAUAGAGGAGCCACCAAGGUUCCUGUUUGUCACCAGGUGACCAGCACUGUUUUGGUAAACUGUUCAACCCAUUUGAAGUGCCAUGGAGCCAAAUUGUGGAAAGGGCUUGUUCCAUCUUGCUGGCCUGAGCGCACCCAGCGUGGGGCUGGGAAUACCGGGAACACAAGUGGUUAUGAAAGGAAGAAAAGUGAAAAAAAGGGUUUUACUGAGAAGUAUGAUGUCACCCAGAUCACAGUCUAUUUCUGGAACUAAGCUGUGAAACCCAUGACACAUUUUGACACAUAAAUGUUGCCAAGUAAAACUGAUAAUAUAUAAUUGUUUAAUAGGGUCACAGCCAACUGUUUUCCAGAUAAGGAGCUGAACUCUUCCAUGCAAUAUAGCAUUUGUGGAACGUUACACCUAGUUGGUUCCAUGCUUUCAUUGGCUCUGGGAUUACUUCCUAUCAUAUUUAAAUAAAAAGACUAGAUUAUUGGGUACCAUAAGAACAAUGGAUUGUUUAAUGGUCUUAUGGCACUUAUCUUAAGUCAAUACGAAAGUUUUGAGUUUCUAGGGCUAUGUCAAGGGCAGUGAAACAAGGACUGCAUUCAGUGAAUUACUCAUUUGUUUAUUUUUUAAUGCACAUUUAAGUAUCUCAUUUUGGGGACUCAGAUAUACAUAGAUGAUUCAGUUAAAUGCAGAUUAAUUUACCAAAAAAAAAAAAAAAAAAGAGAAAGAAAUUGUGCUUGUCUGAGAAACAGAAUCUGGUAGAAAAUAUUAUUAUGCUAUUAUGUGCAAUUUGUUCUAGAUAAAAGUAAUGAUCAAACAACUUCCUUGUCUCUUUGCCAUGGUGCAAAUUUCCUGUGAUAGAGGUCUAUUUUGUAUAGAAUUCUUCAUCCAAGCUUUGUUCCUAGAAGCUUGACAGGGAUCCAUAAUGUAAUUACAGUUAUUAGGAGUAAGUAAUACCAGUAAAAAGAGAUGCUAUAGAAGUGUAGAUAUGGAAGGGAAGAGAUAGGUUCUGAUAUGAAACAGAGAGAGACUGUAGCCCAGAAAUGUAUGAAAAUUGCUCAGGACACAGAGGCAAAGAGCAAAGGCCAGGUCUCCAGGUGUGCAAGGAACAAGAGGGGGACCGAAAGGCAAAGCUUGGGCUUCAAUAGCCACGUCAGAGUUUCGGAGAACCAGAAUUCUUAGGCUGUCCUGGAGACUAGAGUCCUAAGUUCUUCUCGUUAUAAGUUUCUUAAUGUCCUUAUUUCUAUCUUUACAGACAGUCAUAUGGUUUUAACUAUAAGGUCAUAAAACCUUACAGUGUUUCCCUUUUAAAACCAAUGCUUUCUAAUCCUUAAUUGCUGAAAUGUGUGAUGAAAACAAAACAAAAUUAUUUUCUUCCUGGAUCUGAUGUGGACUGCUGGAUUAAUUUGCAGCUAUGGCCAUUUUGCUCCCUUAUAGAGAGAAAAAUAGGUUGAUUGUUUCCUUCAAACACAAAAUCACAUUUCUUUAGCGCUGUCCUUUCCCUCUCACUGUGAGAAAGGAGAGAAUGGUUUCCGCCACAAGCACACUGCCCUUCUGCCUUUCAUGGUGUCUGAAAGUCCAUUAACAGUUCAAACCAGAGCAGUUUGUGUUGGUGGUGUUCCCAUUUCCUCAAAAGCAGCUUCUCUGCAAUGACCCCAUCCCUGGAGGCAUUCAAGACCAGGCUGGAUGUGGCUCUGGGCAGCCUGGUCUGGUGGUUGGCAACCCUGCACAUAGCAGGGGGGUUGAAACGAGAUGAUCAUUGUGGUUCCUUUCAACCCAGGCGAUUCUAUGAUUCUAUGGCAUGAGGGCAGCAGUGUGGAAGUGACGCUCUUAUCACUGCAGAGGAGCUUGAGGGUCAUUCCAUGGCCAGGCCCUGGGUGGCCAGCACUGAGCUCCCUUGACUAUACGGGCUUUAGCCAGCUGCUCACUUGGCUUCCAGCACCAACCUGCCGUGCCCAUCCAUCUUCAACCCUCACUGUUGCGGAAAGUGAUCUGAUCUUCACUGGACUGCAUUGCAUGUAAUUAAGGAAAGGACAUAUAAGAAAGAACCACCCAUUCCUCCUUGAGUCCAGUUCUUUCCAUCAGUCUCUCUUCACCAUGCCAGCACUACUUUCUUUUCCCUUGCUUAAUAUACAGUACCGUGCCAUUUCAUUGAACUGGCAGAUAAGCUUGGACUCUGCUGUCCCUUAGCUGCCUGCCUUGAGCCAAAGCUUCCUGCUAUUUUCCUACCAUACACUGAUUUAUCUUUUGCUUUCUCAAGUAACGCUUCCCCAAAGAACAUGUCACGGGCUGAAUGGGAGCAUGGAAGCGGGCUGCCAGAAGGCACUUAUCUAUUGUUCUUCCUUACCCAAGAUGGCAUGUUAAUGCCAAAGGACUCAGUGCAGCUGCCAACUCUGCAUCAGCUGAGUCUUAACCUUUACCAUGCGUACAGCAGCCGUUUGCUGGAGACCAGCUAGCGCCAGAGUGCAGACUUGCCUGCCAAAGCUUGGAUUUCUGUGUAAUUGGUUCCCAUGUCACAGAGCUUACAAGGUCCAAUUACAUCCCCUCACUGUAGCAGGAGCCUUUCACUUGCUGUGGGGCUGAGUUUGAUGACCAUGCAUCUCCUGUUGGAUAGCAGCUAGAGGACCAAGUUCAUCCACCUGCAUCCUUGGGCUUCCUACUACUUGAACACAUGUCUUUGGGUGCCAAGCCCAUCGCAAAAGUAGAAGCUAAGCCAGAGGAAUGCAGAUCUUAUUAAAUGGAGAAGGGGGUGGUCAUUUGGAAAGCUUAGAAAUGUAGAGAAAUAGGUGUGUUUCUUGGUGGAGAAGGUUUGAUGGUGGGCAUCGCAGCUAAUGUUGCAAUGUAGAGAUGGAAAAUCUGUGUUUAUAUCCUGAAUAUCAACUCUUCAUUCUAGCUGUGGGAAUCAUUACACUUGUGGAAACAGGUGGUUGUUUGCUGCAGUGCUCAUAGAAGGGCUCUCUCCCCUACGAGAACCCCAGAUUGCUGUGAGAAAGCUGUUUGUACAUAAGUAACUGAUAUGCAUUUUUCAGAUUCCUAAUGUCUAUGAAGCUUCAAUUACCCAGUAAAGAACCAAAAUAAACCCCCCCAAAACGGUAUCAUGUGACCAAUUCAUUUAAGAAACUGCAUGUCCCCUCAACACUUGAGGAUCUGUAUGUAGCUAGCCCUACUAUGCCUGUUUUUCUCUCAUUUCUGGCCUCUCUAUACAGAUGGGGACCUUAGAAAUGAAAAGAUUGAAUGUCUUAUGACAGGCAAGCAAGGAGUCUGUGGCUGAAUCAUGGAGAAAACUCAAAUGUCCUGAGGAAUAAACACUCUGAGCAAUUUCUAGGUGACAGAAAACCAACUAGGAAAAAGCCCAGCAGGCCACAGAAAAUCAGAGAUAAGGGAAACAUCUGAAGGACUGGUGUAAAGCUACUCUGAAGCUGCCUCUCUGUGUGAUUAAGCAACUCCAAUUAGCAGCAGUGUCACAAACAGAACGCAUGAGGGCAUUUCUGCCAUUCCUGAGCCCUCAGCAAUCCGCUUGCUUUGGUAUUCUACGAUAGUCCCACCUCUCUUGGAGCCACGUGCAAAGCUCACAGACAUCAGCAGGAAUUGGAGCUGUUCUUAUUUCGCUUGUGAGCGCAGUAAGUUAUUGGUUGGGGAAAUGAGUCAGGAAGAAAAUAGUAAAAAAAAAAAGCAACCCCAAACAUCAGUCCUUGGUUCUGCCAUCUCCUGAGGUGCCCCAUGGUCAGCGUAGGAGACAGCGCCUCGGGGGUGGUGGGAAUUGUUGCUGUAGGUCUCCAGAGUGGAAUUUGCCCUGGAUGGAGACAGCACUGGUAGCUGCCCUACGUGCAUGGCUCUCCUCCAUUCCUACAUCCACUGACCUCUGCACCAAAAGCCCAUCCCAGUGCGUGUGUCCACAGCCUGAAAAAGCAGGCAGAUGCCAUGAGCAGGGAGAAGAGAGAAAAAGCAUUGGCAACUGGAGAUGUGGGUCUAGAACUCUUAACAAUAAGCUAGUUAUCUUUGCCUCUGGUUACCACUGGGCAGCGAUUCCCUCGGCACAGCAGCAUGAUGUUGGGCCACACGCUGGCCAAGGCAGUGCCCAAUUGCCCACAGCCUGGAUGGGAACUCUUCCUUGAUGCAUCAGGGCAGGCUCCAGCCUCCAUCCCAGAGGCACCAACAGCCAAACACAGGUUUCUCUUCCUCAGGAGCACGGUGCUCACGCUGCUCGCUUGUGGCUAUGAACAGAGGGGAAAACAAUGCGAUAAGUGCAGAAUGGUUUUAUUGUCAUGUCAACAAAAUAUUUUCUGCCUCCACAGACUGUGGAAGUGCUCAGCAUGCAGCACCCUUCCAGUUUUGGAAAACACUUGAAAACCACCGACAGAAUCUCACUAUUCCUUUUUUUAGCUCCAUAAUAAAAAGCAAACAAGAAAUAUGCUGAUCCCCAAAAUGAGCUUAUUUUUUUCCUUUUUUUUUUUAGCAAUUUAAUUUUUUAGCUUUGAUCUGAUACCAGAACCCAGAGGACUUACUUGCUAUUUCUAAAUAAUGAGUCUAAUGUUUAUGCUCUGAGCCUGAACUUUUCUGGUUUUGGAAAAAAUGUGACUUUACAUAAAAGUCCUUUGAUUAAGAGAUCUGCAGUCAGAGGAGUUUUCGAUACAAUAAUGAAAAGGCCUUUCAGAUCUCUAACUCGAACGCUGCUCAGCACGAUAUUACUCGAGAAGGGGAGAAGCCGGCAGAACAAUCACACUAUUAGUCUUUGCUUUGCCAAGUGUUGUGUUAGUCAUAUUGCUGGUCAAAUCUCCCAGAAGUGCCUCAGAGAAGCCUUACAUUGCACGGAGUGAUGCAUGCCUGAUAAACGCACCCUGACCUGGGUGGUCUGUCGCUCUGGCUCUCUCCUUUUAUUUUUUUUUAACCCUGUUUCAUUGAGGCUUUAAGAGGUGAUUGUUACACAGAGGGAAAGUGCCUGGAGGAGAAACAGAGGCUAUUUCCUCCUGCUGUGGUCCACAUUCCCCUGCAGCAGGGCUGCAGCAGGCUCUCCUUCCAAGAAAGCCGCAGCACAAAACAUGGCACUCCCUCUCUUGCACAGCGAGGUUCCAUCCAUUGCCCCAGCUGAGCUUGCAGCGCUGGGCAUUCGGAGCACUCAGCACCUGGGCUCAUCCAUGGCUCAGAAGGUGACCUCCUGCUCAGUCCUGGCUCUCCUGGAAGUGGGUUGGAAAGGGUGACUUUCGCCCUGCUAAGCAGGUUGUGGUGUUGAAGCUGGAUGCCUGUGUUAUUUAUGCAGAACUGACACGUCUCUUUGUCCUGAGCCGUGUGGCCCAGAUUCCAGCCCUUGUAUCUACAAAACAUUACUCAUGUGCGCGCUCCUCUUUCAAGUCCUUGAUUCCAAUGGUAUUACUCACAUGUGCACGCAUACCGCGGCUGUGCGCCUGAGUGCCGCUCACGUCUCUGCAGGGGCAAAUCCUGCUGCUUUCAGCUGAUCUACACCACUAUGCCAGAGAUAAAAAUCUGAAACCAGAGCGGCUCUCUGGGGAAAGGAAGAUCAGCUUAAAACCUGAUGAUUCUCCUCCUCUUCCUCAUUCUCCCCGCACAUUUCCCACUUCUGUUGCCAGCAGGGCAGCCCGCGGGAAGCUCUGCUCCUUUGGAUCACCGGAGCACUGCCGCACACCAGGGGUUAAAAUGAGAAGGCACUUUGAUUUUGGAGAUUUAUGGCCUUCCUCCUGCUGUAUUCGUGGAGCUCAUCGUUGCAGUCAGCCCUCCCCACCCCUGCAGCUGUCUGCACAUUUUUUCUCCGGUUCUAGAGUUGUACUUUACUUAGGAAAUUAUAAUUAUUAAAACACACAAGGUCACGCUCUAGAUGAACUUGGAAACAGUUCAAAUAUGUUUCAGGUUUGAAACUAUUCAGCGGUGAUGGCCAAGUGGUGAUUUCAUAACAAAAGAAUGGUUAAUUUCACACUUCAGAUAACAUUUCCCCCGGAAAGCAGUAAAGCAUGUUGGUACAGAAAUUAUUAAAGGUCAAAAGACUGGAGACGUAUAAUCAGUCAUUAGUGCCAAUAAUGAGAUAUUAAAGGCAGGCGUGGGGAGGAGGCGGAGCUGAUGCCUGCCCCUUACCUUUACAACUCUCAUUUUCUGAAAGGUGCUGUGUCUUUGUGGACUUCUAACGUGGCAGAUCUGGAGUGCUGCUGCACAAGUGGGCUUCUGCCCCUGCUGUAGGUAGAACAGCCAUUGGACCACAUGGACCACCAUCCCCAUAAUAACGACCUGCAAAGCAUCCACUGAAGAGCAGCGAAGCCAACACUCACAGUACCCACCUCCCUGAGUCACCUUCCUCCUUUGCUGGCUGGUGGGAAGAAAGCAGUGGCAGGUGUUCCAUGGCCUCUCCAGCAAUUGGCAUCAACAUUAAUCACUGCUCUUCUCUUGCAAAGGGAUUCUGACAAAGCAAGUUUUGAAAGAUCAAACCUCCCUCGUGCAGACAGCAGCCUGAAGUGGCUCUCUGUAUGCCUUGGUGAGAGAUGUGGCCAAAGCAGGUUGAUCCUGAUCGUCAUGGGAUAUCUUUUCCCCCAAAGUCAGCAACUCUUUGGAGAAAAAAUACACAGAAACAAACAAACACAAAUAAACCACUUAAAAGAAAAAGAACAGGAGAUGUCACAAACCCUUCCUUGGCAGUGCUCCUCUGCAAGCAGCUCCAGCCCAGCAGGUCAGCCGGGCAGCCUCAGCCAUGCCCUCAUAUCUCCAGUCUCAUCCUGCACUGGGCAAAAGCACAAAGUACAUUUGACCUUGCAGCUGGAGCUGUGGAAAUCAGCUCUAUCACAAACCAGGAGGACAAUGACUUUAUGAGUGCAUCUCGUGUGCUGCUGCCACCUGAAUGUGCCACUGCCAAGGCUGGGGUGGCACUGGACUCAAGUCUGUGGCUUUGGGGGAAUCAAUAACACCCCUGGAUGCUCAGGGACUGGAGAGGUGAUGCUUCACUGGGGCUAUUGUGCUGACUGAGGAGCUUUUAUUUCCUCAGCUGUGCGGAGGAAUGGGCAUGAAUUCUGUCUGUGACAGUGCACGUAGUGUGUGCACCACACUGCUGUGCAGAAACUGUCACAUCCUGGUGUUGGCCACAGUGCUGUCCAGCAAGGAUGCCAUGAGGCUGAGCCCAGCCUUGCCCUGGUGCCACAUGGUAGUUUUCAUUUAGAAAGAUCUUGCUCAUGUCUUUGUGAGGAAAAAAAGAAAACAAAAAACCAAACCAGGAAUGGUAGCGAGCACUCUAUGCCAGUUUCAUUUUUCAUCGUCGUUAUCAAGGUUUGGAUUGUACCUUUGGAAUGUCCUUAUCUAAAAUGAAAUCAAAUAAGCACUUAGUGGCGGGGGGUCCUACACUCCCUCAGCACCUAAGGGAGUUUGUGCAAUGCCCCACUGCUGCGUGCUCAGCUCGGUUCACCUAAGUUGAUGCACGUACACGUGUACCUACAAGUAGUGCCACAAGCACGUACAGCUGGUAACGUAUCCAAACACAAUGGAAUGCACGUAAAACCCAAAUCACAUUUUUUAUCGCCACACUGUGGCACGUGGCAGGACAUGAGUGGGGUCCCAUCCUUCUGGUUGGCAUGAAAGUACUCUCUGCAGGACAGAAAGACCUGGGGAAGGCUUUCUCGUCAUCCAGCCGUGACCCAUGUGCUUCUGAAGCACGCUGCCAGCUCUGGCUUCUGCCAAAAGCUGGGCAGGGGAAGAGAAGGGCCCAAGGACCUGCAUCAGCCCACAGCAGAGCCUGCUCAAGAGUCUGUCCCAAUGGGUCUGGGCUUACUUGCAUAUUUAGAUGUGGGCACCUAGCCUUCUCCCAGCACCUUUCAUACUAUAAAAGCCCACAAAGAAAACCAAGCUGACUGCUGCCUCUGCUCCUACCACACAAGAGAUGGACAGGACGAGUCCAAGCAUUAUGUCAUCUGCUUUCCGUGGGCUGAGGGGAGCUCAGCUGAGUCCCACGCUCAGAUUUGGGAGGGCUGGCAGCCCUCUGCUGUCUCUGCAGCUUCCAGGCUUUCUUUUCAUCCUGAACCUAAUGGGUGGAUGGCAGCAGAGUUCAUGAGGAUUUUCGGAUGAGCUCAGAGGAGCUUGUUCAUGAGAAUUUGAAUUUUUGGCAAAGAGCCCACAAUAGCUGAUAUUUUCCAGCUUAUGGGGGAGAGGGUUUUCCAGCUAUGCAUAUCCCUUAAUUCACAUAACCAGCACUUUAUUUUAACGCUAAUUCCUCUGCAUCCCCUUUGGAACCAUGUGCACUCUUAGGAAGGACACAUGCCCCUGUCUGAAAGAUUCCUGGGCUUUUCACAUCUCUCACUGCCAUGUAUGAGGUUUGGCUGCUGGAUAACCUACCUUGGCUGCAUGGGAAGAGGAGCUGCCACAGGAUGGCAAAAUGAAAGGGUGAAAACUCUAGGAGGAGGGUUAAUGUACACUGAAAUGAAUAGCUGAAGGACCUGACAUAGCAAAUAACUAAAAAGCAUUAAAAGUGGAGGUGACUGAGGGAAAGUAAAGGGCAGCCCCUUUCAGGUGUAUGUUGAUAAUGCUCUCCUGACCAGUUGGCUGCAGACCACACAGACCUAUUGCCUAUAUGCACCCACAUUUCUGAUUUCUCUGGGUCAGUGCUGCCCAGGCUUCAUGUUGUUGUCUGAGUAAAUCUUGCUUCUUUUGUCUUUUAUAAACAUUGGAGCCAUUAUCUGUGAUAUUCCACCCUCGUGUCAUUGAAGAAGAAUGUUCUGA
ensembl:lncRNA